rnacentral:rRNA from 1 species
UGGAUGUCGUCAGCUCGUGCCGUGAGGUGUUGGGUUAAGUCCCGCAACGAGCGCAACCCUUAUCACUAGUUGCCAACACGUAAUGGUGGGAACUCUAGUGAGACUGCCUGGGUUAACCAGGAGGAAGGUGAGGAUGACGUCAAGUCCGCAUGGCCCUUAUGACUGGGGCUACACACGUGCUACAAUGGUCGGUACAGUGGGCAGCGAAGCCGUGAGGUGAAGCAAAUCCCCCAAAGCCGAUCUCAGUUCAGAUUGUAGUCUGCAACUCGACUACAUGAAGACGGAAUUGCUAGUAAUGGCGAGUCAGCAACAUCGCCGUGAAUACGUUCCCGGGUCUUGUACACACCGCCCGUCACAUCAUGGGAGUUGGUUUCACCCGAAGCCGCUGGCUCAACCGCAAGGAGAGAGGCGUCUAAGGUGAGGCUGAUGACUGGGAUGAAGUCGUAACAAGGUAGCCCUACCGGAAGGUGGGG